UACGGAGGGUGCAAGCGUUGCUCGGAAUUAUUGGGCGUAAAGCGCACGUAGGCGGGUCAUCAAGUCGGAUGUGAAAUCCCUCGGCUUAACCGAGGACGUGCAUUCGAUACUGACGACCUUGAGUACGAAAGAGGAUCGCGGAAUUCCCGGUGUAGAGGUGAAAUUCGUAGAUAUCGGGAGGAACACCAGUGGCGAAGGCGGCGAUCUGGGUCGAUACUGACGCUGAGGUGCGAAAGCGUGGGGAGCAAACAGG
rnacentral:rRNA from 1 species